UUCCGGUUGAUCCUGCCGGAGGCUACCGCUAUUGGAGUUCGAUUAAGCCAUGCGAGUCGCGAGAAAUUAGAUUCUCGGCGUACCGCUCAGUAACACGUGAGUAACCUGCCCUAUGCUGGAUAAUAACCUCGGGAAACUGAGAAUAAUGAUCCAUAGUUCACUACGCCUGGAACGGUGAGUGGAUGAAAGCCCCGGCGGCAUAGGAUGGGCCUGCGGCGUAUCAGGUUGUAGGGGGUGUAACGUACCCUCUAGCCCUCUACGCGUACGGGUGUUGGGAGACAUAGCCCGGAGAUGGAUUCUGAGACACGAAUCCAGACCCUACGGGGUGCAGCAGGCGCGAAAACUUGGCAAUGCGAGAAAUCGUGACCAGGGAACUCCAAGUGCAUCGGGUAAGACCGGUGCUUUUCUUGACUCUAAAUAGGUCUUGGAAUAAGGGGUGGGUAAGGACGGUGCCAGCCGCCGCGGUAAUACCGGCGCCUCAAGUGGUAGUCGCUUUUAUUGGGCCUAAAACGUCCGUAGCCGGUCUGAUACAUUCGUGGGUAAAUCAACCAGCUCAACUGGUUGAAUUCUGCGAGGACGGUCAGACUUGGGACCGGGAGAGGUGUGGGGUACGCUCAGGGUAGGGGUAAAAUCCUGUCAUCCUGAGCGGACCACCUGUUGCGAAGGCGCCACACUAGAACGGAUCCGACGGUCAGGGACGAAGCCUAGGGGCACGAACCGGAUUAGAUACCCGGGUAGUCCUAGGUGUAAACGCUGUGGACUUGAUGUUGGGGGUGCUCCGAGCACUCUCAGUGUCGAAGCGAAGGUGAUAAGUCCACUGCCUGGGAAGUACGGUCGCAAGGCUGAAACUUAAAGGAAUUGGCGGGGGAGCACCGCAACCUGAGGAUUGUGCGGUUUAAUUGGAUUCAACGCCGGA
rnacentral:rRNA from 1 species